ACGAGGCAGCUGACAAGUCCAGUUUGAGAGAAGUAUGUAUGUAGAAAAUUAAACAUUUCAUUAAGAUGAGGACUUUGGAAUAUACUCGCAUGUCCCACUCCAACAGAAGCACCCAGAUGUUAAGGAGCAACAGAACCUCAUAAAGUUGGCUCAAGCUGUAGUCAGUUGCUCAUAACAGACAGUGAUGAAGCUACCCCCUACCCACCUCCAGCACAUAUCUGAGCUGCUGCUAAAAGAGAAAAUAAAGAAGGAAAAGAAGGAAGGCACCAAUUAAACAACUGGAGGGAAACAUUAGUGAGGCUAUUGAUAUUGCAAUUAUGAAAAAAUUAAAGUAUUUAGCCCAGAAAGCCAUUUGAAACUCAUCAAGUGGAAAUGUUGUUUGUUCACUGCUGAUUGCAGAAUAUCAAAUGACAGUUUUCUGUCAUCUCUACCAGGAAAUACCUCUCUGGCAACUUGUACAACUCCAGUGUCCCUCUUUAUAGCCUAGAUAUUUAAAAAUGAACGACUGCUUUCUUGGUUAGGAGCAGCUGGCUAAGAAACCUGCUCCUUAAUUAGCAGCUUCUCCCCAGGGAUAUUUACUCAGUAAAUUUACUCUUCAGUGGAAGUGCUGCUGGUAAUUCAAAGAACAAGGCCCAUCUCUUCAGCGUCCACUGGCUUUUAACUAAGAAAGUACUUGCAUAUUUUUAGAAGGUGACUCUUGCUAUUUGCUUUGCUCAGAGAAAACAAAGAGGAGAAGCUGCCAAAUCCGUUCGCUGAUAUGACUGGUUAUCUACAGCAUUGAUUUAGAUGAGAUUGUUUUAUGGGGUUAAAAAAUAAAUAAAUCAAAGCUCCCAAUUUUUGGUGACCUCUUGUAGUAGUAAAAAAAAAGGUUCUUAUUUGAAUGCUUUUCACUCAAAACUUCACGCUUUAAAUACAUUCAGGACUUAUGGAUCGUAUUCAAGCUAUCCUGUAUCAACGACGCACAUUCACACUGCAUUUCUUCAAUUUAAGAGGGAAAAAACCCCACACAAAACAAAACCUGUACCAAAAGAACAAGAAAUAAGCCUAACAAACCACUCACCCUUCCCCGACAGAAAACCAAACCACACAAAAAAAAACAAAAAACCGUCAGGAAAAGAUUCUGCCUGAAGGUCCACGACCUCAGUUUACUCUGCAAUUCUGCUAGGCAUCUGGAGCCAGACUGGGAAUAUUACUUAAACAUCAGCAAUUGUGGCUAGUUCCCUUAUAAGACUGACAAGUGAGUAUAACCUUGCAGGAUUUUCAUUCCCACCAGCCGCCAGUCGGCCCAACACAGGCUGGCCAGCAAUUAAAAAGGAACUGGCAGAUGUUUCUUGCUUCGAAGCUACAAAAUAUUGCAAAUAUUGAAAUACUGUGGGUCUAAAAGAUGAUGACAGUCUAAGAGCUCAUCAUAGAGCUCAUCAUACUGUGCUUUUAUACCAAGGUUACUCCAGUGAUUUUAAGGGAAACAUUCUUCUAAACAAAACAACCCACAUUCAUGCCUAUAUGGAUGGAUCUAUAACGGGAACGGGGCUUAACCAAUGGAUGUGGAAUAAUACUAAUCAAUGCCACCACUCUGGAUCUACCAGAUUGCUGCCUGCUCACAUAAUUUUCCUUCUUUGUACUCCAGUUUAUCUACCGGUGAAUUAGAUGAAUGCUCAUAUCCUUUGGAAAAUUGCAGGAAAUCUCUGGAUAAGCAGAAGUUCCAAAUAAUAAUAUUAGUCAUUAAGAUGAUCUCUAGCUACUUCUUGGUGAAUUACUGCAUUUUUUUUUAACAUGUUGCAACAUCAUUAACUACUACUUUUCCCCAAAGGUGACCUAAUCUAAAGAUGAAGAGCUCAAAACACCAGAUCCCCCCAGUAAAAUCUCCCUGAAAACAUGUGCUUUCAGACUGUGAGAUUAUUCUGUAAAAUUUCAAUCUACACCUCUUCAAUACUUCCUUUGGAAUUUUAAGUCACUUUAAGACCCUCCAUUAACAAAAACUAUCUGUAUAAUCUGAUGCUUAGAUCUCUCUUCCCAUCAUUAAACGCACAAUGCAUGCCAUUAGUCUUCUCAUGGUCAGACACACAGCAGGCCCCAUGGUUUACUCAUCUUAUCUUGCUAGGCUUUCACUUCACACCAUACUUUUUGUUUAAGACUGGUGUAGCAGCCAGGACUACGGGAAGACCUUUUUCUCUAGUCCAGUGAAUGAAACAAAACUGAUCAUCCUAUGACUUAUAUUCCACAGGUUCAAGUCAGCUUUACAAAUUAUACAUAUCACUGAAUCUGCAUGAACAUCUCCCAGGCAAAAAAGGCUGUGGUACCCUAAGAAAUUCAAGCCACCCUGCCCUUACGAAGAUCCCGACUCAUGGUUUCCAUUCUCCUCCUAAUAGCUUCCAGCCACUGCCGUUCAGUCAAGGCUUUUUCUCAUACUGACUUAACAACUGUAACAUUUAGCAAAUAAAAGUCCAUCUGAGCACUGCCUAUUUCAUUAGUUUUGCCAGCCUCUGUGAGUGCAGAAGUUCCAUUUUCUAAUCAGAGACUCUCUCCUGAUUAAUGCAAACUCUCAAGGGAUAUAUUUGAGUUUCUAUACAUCCUAUUACAAGAAUCAUAUAAUGGUAGCAUUAUAUAUAUAUUAUCAUGUAAUGGUAGUAUGUCUUCUCUUAGCAAAAUGAAUGCUUAUACAUACAUAUGUCCGCUGUUUCAUCUUCUGGAAUCUCACACAGAAUCACAGAAUUUUCGAAGCUGGGAGACAGCUGGAGGUCAUCUGGCCAAAACCCUGCUGAAGUGGGUCCACUACAGUUUGCAGCCCUGGGCUGUGUCCAGGCAGCUUUUGAGGAUCUCCACGUCAGCCUGUUCCACUGCUGUCACCCACGUGGUGUUUCCUGCUCUUCCUGUGUCUCAGGCUUUGCUCACUGCUUUUUGUCCGCCAGGCACAAAUGAAAAGAGACUGGCUCUGUCCUCCUUGCACCUUUGCUUCAGAUUUGGAAUCAGAGAAAUGCAGCCACACUGAGAGUGAAGAAUACACGGGGAAUCAUUUUCUAGACUACAUACUUCAUCAUAUUCAUGUCGCGUCUGAUUACUUGCAGGGGGAAGGAAGAAUGCAGAAGGGAGAGACGCUAACAAUUUCUAUCCUAACAUAUCCCCCACCCCAUCCCCAGCAGUUAUUAUCUUUAGGUAUCAAGCCGAGUGCAUUAUAAUACUAAGUUAUUGGUAAUUUACUGAAAUAAUGUAAAUUAGCCAAAAUGCACAGUGAAAAUUCAGCCUGAGAAAGAAAAAAGAAACAAAAUUCGUGGCAGUAGCUUCUCUUGAUGUGAAUAACUUCUGUGAACUGACACACUGAAAAGGCUAAUUAGAGCUGUUUAGCCAUUUUCUAUAGCUUGGUAAUGGGCACUAUUAUUUGAAAGUUCUACAGCACAGUUACUGCAACUAUUGGAGCACUGUUAAUCUUCUGGAUGUGGGAUCAAUGCAGCAGUUACAGCAAGCAAGCAGGCUCUUCACCCCUAAAAUUGGCAAAGUACCCAUCAUAGGUGAUCUCCACGUGGUGACCAGCUGUGUUUGCAUAACACCGUGGUAGUACUGGGGCCCUUCUAUAGUGUUGGUAUAGCUGAGAGCUAUUUAUAAAUAAACUGGACUUUCAACAGUCAUUACUGUGACAACCCUGGAGAUUACAUCCACCACAGUGAUUCUGCUGCACCACAGCUCUGUCCGUAGUCACAAAAGUAAUCAAGUUAUUCAGGUACUUCUCAAGUGUGAAAGACCUCAAAGCAUAUGACCUUGUGGCACUGCUCAUGAGAGAGCACAACUUUGUGAAGUACGAAUGCAUUUCUUCCUGCUAACUAAUUAAACUGGAUUCCUCGCUA